AACAAGGUCUCCGUUGGUGAACCAGCGGAGGGAUCAUUAUCGAGUUAUUCAACUCCCAAACCCUAUGUGAACUUACCACUUGUUGCUUCGGCGCGCGCUUCGGCGCCGCCGAGGACACUUAAACUCUUUGUUUUUAUAAGCAUUUCUGAGUGGCCGAAAGGCAAAAAUACAAAUGAAUCAAAACUUUCAACAACGGAUCUCUUGGUUCUGGCAUCGAUGAAGAACGCAGCGAAAUGCGAUAAGUAAUGUGAAUUGCAGAAUUCAGUGAAUCAUCGAAUCUUUGAACGCACAUUGCGCCCGCCAGCAUUCUGGCGGGCAUGCCUGUUCGAGCGUCAUUUCAACCCUCGAGCCCGACUCUUUUGAGGACGGCUCGGCGUUGGGGGACGGCAGACUCCCCCCGGCAUCUCGCCGGGGACGCCGCCCCCGAAAUCUAGUGGCGGCCCUCCGAGGCGACCUCUGCGUAGUAACUUGUUCUCGCACCGGAAAGCUCAGAGCGGCCACGCCGUAAAACCCCAACUUUUUUCAGGUUGACCUCGAAUCAGGUAGGACUACCCGCUGAACUUAAGUAUAUCAAUA
rnacentral:rRNA from 1 species